GGAGUUUUGGAAAAGUAAUAUAUAUUAUUAUUAAUAAUUAUUGUAUAAACAAGUAAUUCGUGUUUCAUUUGCUUUCCAUUCAUAUUAGGUAACAUUAUGUCAACAUAAAAUAUCGAACAGGUAUGUUGCCAUAAAAAGCAUCCACAAAUCAAAAAUAAUUACUUCAAGCAAAUCAGUAGAGUCAUUAUACUCCGAAAAAAAGAUAUUUGAAGUGGUGAAUAACAGCCCCCACCCGUUUCUCGUAAACUUGUUCUCAUGUUUUCAGACAAACGUAAGUGAAUUAAAAAUUAGUUAUUUAUUUGUAUUUUGAAAUUAAUUGGUUUAUUGUUCACAGGAUUAUGCUUGUUUUGUCAUGGAAUACGCUGCAGGCGGCGAUUUAAACUGGCACAUAGAAAAUUAUGGAGCAUUUACGGAACCAAAAGCCGUGUUCUACGCCGCAUGUGUGGUGCUAGGUGUCACGUAUUUACACGAACACAACAUCGUUUAUCGGUUAGUACAAUGUUAAAUAUCAUUUCUACAUAUUACAUUGUUGUUAAUAUGGUGCGUUUAUUAUUGGUUAGAGAUAUAAAACUAAACAAUUUAAUUAUGACAACGGACGGCUNAUCGAACUUCAUCGUUUUGCGGGACUGCCGAAUUUGUAGCGCCAGAAAUAUUAAUAGAGACGUCGUACACACGAAGUGUCGAUUGGUGGGCUUUUGGUAUUUUAAUAUACAAAAUGCUUGUG